GCAGGGACGGCAGUUGGGCCGCUUCUUCUGGGAGGGCGGAAGGGAGGACGGGUGGGUGGCGUCCGCGGCAAUGGCGGGCGAGCCUCCUCCCGUGGAAGAGCGGCGGCGGUUGCGGGAGGAGCUCAGCGAGUUCGUGGAGAGCUGCUGCCGGACGCUGGAGGAGGUGAUGGCGUCGCUGGGCUGGAGCCCCGACCGGCUGGAGCCCGGGGGGGAGGCGGCGGCGGCGGCGGCGGCGGCCGAGGAUGAAGUUGCCGUAUGCCCUUAUGAUUCCAAUCAUCACAUGCCUAAAUCAUCUUUAGCAAAGCACAUGGUAUCUUGUAGAUUGAGGAAACUGGGCUAUACCAGAGAAGAAGAGGAUAAAAUGUAUAACUCUGACUUUUUCUAUGAGAAUGCGAAGAUACCUUCAAUUACCUUGAAUAAGGACUCACAAUUCCAGAUAAUUAAACAAGCUAGAGAUGCAGUUGGAAAUGGUGGUGAUUGUUACAGUCAAAGGAUGCAUUCUUCACUGCCUGUUGAAGUUCCUCUGAAUCACAAACGGUUUGUUUGUGAUCUAACCCAAGCUGAUCGUCUUGCCCUCUAUGAUUUCGUAAUCGAGGAAACAAAGAAAAAGCGCUCGGAUUCUCAAAUUAUUGAAAAUGACAGUGAUCUCUUUGUAGACUUGGCUGCCAAAGUCAAUCAAGAUAAUAGUCGAAAAAGUCCAAAAUCUUACCUUGAAAUCCUGGCAGAAGUGAGAGAUUAUAAAAGAAGACGCCAGUCCUAUAGAGCUAAGAAUGUUCACAUAACCAAGAAAUCAUAUACUGAGGUGAUUCGGGAUGUGAUCAAUGUGCACAUGGAGGAGCUCAGCAGCCACUGGCAGGAGGAGCAGGAGAAAGCAGAGGACGGUGCGGAAAAGAACGAAGAAAGGCGGUCAGCGUCAGUGGACUCACGGCAGUCUGGGGGGAGCUGUCUGGAUGCCGAAAGUUCACGCCGUAGACGGGGUCGGAGUAGGAGCCCACAUAAACGAAGGCGGAAUAAAGAUAAGGAUAAAAACUGGGACUCAAGAAGAAGGAAAGAGAGGUAAGGCCAACACUGCAUCACUCGCUGUUGGAUUGCUUACUUUUGAGAAGUGAACAGUCCUGUUACAGGCCAUGCUGAGCAAAUGGAUUGUAAGUAAAGUACGGUAAGGAGAGUAAACAAUUGAUGAAGAUUCUUAAUGUUCGUCCUGUGUCAAUUCAGAUAUCCAACAGCUCUGGUGAUGCACCUCUUUUUCUGUCUGGUUCAUACGGGUUUCCCUUUUUUAUGAUUUGUUUCCUCGCCAGGACGUAGGAAGGUAACGUCUAGGUAGAAAGUUAACCAUGUUAAAAAGGUGUUUGCCUAGAUCCUAGAUCUUUCUUCUGUCCUUUCUGUGUCCCUCCCUCCCUUUCUUGUUUCUCUUUCUCAUUCUUUCUUUCUCUUGCUAAUUCACCAGAUAAAGGAUAUUAAAAAGUCAGAAGGUCCAAGCUUUAAUGGCAGGCAGUUUUGCCCUUGUUGGUAUUCCUGAUAAAAUUUUGAAAGCUGGGGAGCUAUAAAGUCAUACUGAAAUAAUGAAUUCAGAUUGACGGAGGUCUGUCCCUGUAUUCUAGCUGCUUACUGGGCAUCUACCUGGAUCUCAGAUUCAUCAGGUCUAUACCUGAACUUGUCUUUUUCUUGGUCUGCUCCUCUCUCCCCAGCACUCCUGUCCUGGGUAAUGGACAAUUGUCAUCUCUUCACCAGAAAUUGAGGGCUUGUGUUAGAUGCUCCCUUUCACCCCUUACUAUCUGGUCCUAACUGUCAGUUUUGUGUGAAGAUACCUCACAUGUUCCUCCUCCUCUUUGUCCUUAAUGCUGUCAUCUGGAAAAUGAUGGUAGUUUUCCUAAUUGUUCUGUCUCUGAGCUUGUACCAUAUGGGUCCAUUCCUGCCCUGCUGCCAGAGUGAAUUUUCACCUCUUAAAACUCUUCAGUGGCAGAGGUCACGUGCUUUAGAACGGUUCUCGAGCCCCCCAGGAGUAGGGCACCUGCCUACCUAACUUGUAUUUUGCCUCAACCCCGUGCAUUGCGUAGCUUCUGCUCUGGCCAUUCAGAAUUCCUCACACUCCUCAUCCACCGUGUGCCUCACCUGUGCCUUUCCACCUUGUGUCCUGCUGCCUCGUUUUUUUUAAGCCCACUCAGUAAGCGUGUCCUCAUCCUCUUCAGAUCCACUUAGUCAUUUCCAUGAAGCCGUUUUUCAGUGAUUCAGACAGAGCUGAUCUUUCCCAUUCUCUCACCACUCUACCCAGCACCGAGUCUUAUGGAACUUAAGUUAUCUCCACAUUAGACAGCUCAUUGAAGGGAUGGGGAAAGACAUCAUAGUCAUAAAAGAAGAAAGCAAAAAACAUAGACCAAGUAUUUGUGCAUGUAUUAAUUACGCUUAUGCUAUGGUAACCAAUAUGUUGAUAUUUUUAUCAUAGUUGUUUUGAGUAAGAGAAUGUGCUUAUAUGAACUGUGUAGUGCUCAGAUCAUUAUUUUUCAGUAAAUAUGUUUCAAACCAUGAGCACAUGAUUACGCCCUAGAACUUUGUUUUGCUUAUAUUUUAAUAGACGAUUGCCUCCUAUUACUGAUUUUGUUUCAUUCAUUUUUGAUAAUUUAUAUAUCAGAAAAUUCUUUAAUUAAAGUAUUUAAACUGUAUAACUAAUACAUAAAUAUAUUCUUAUUGUAAGAAAUUAAACCUUACAGAUAAGGCUGAAGAACCCUUGGAGCACCAUCUGUGAUCCCUGUGGCCACCCCAGGGGUAACCACUGGUGAACUGUAGUAGGGAAAAACAACCUAAAUAUUCAUCAGAAGGGGAGAGGCCUGGCUAAAUAAAAUGUGGUAGAGUCAUAUGAUAGAUUACUAUAUUGUAUUUAAAGAAAUAAACUUUAUAUUAUCAUGAAUAGGUCUUAGAGACAUGAUGCUAAAUGAAGAUAAACAAGUUCCAGAAACAUAUGUACAAGUUAUAUCUAUGUACAAGACAAUACUGUACAUUUUCUGUGGCUGUAUAUGUAUGUAAAUAUAUUUUUAAAGGUUCAGAAGAACUCAUCCCAAACUCUCAACAGUGAUUAUUUGGGGGAGGGGAUAUAGAUGGCAGAGAGAAAGGAUGGAAACCAGGAUUGGGAGGGUGGUCAAAGGGAACUUUAGCUUUAUCCAUAAUGCAUUAAUUUUUAAAAAAUAAAAUAUUUGUGUUUGACUUGUUAAUUAAAAAUAUAUUGUCGCUUUGUUUUUUGUAAACUUUAUUGAGAUACUGUUUACAUAUAAUAAAAUACAUUCAUUUUAAGUGUAUAUGUCUUUUUUUUU